UCCCUGAUGGUCUAGUGGUUAAGACUUUGCCUUCCAAUGCAGGAGAUGCAGGUUCCAUCCCUGGUUGGGGAA
rnacentral:tRNA from 1 species